AAGAAACUUGUUCCAAUUUUUCUUGCGUACUACUUGAAUAGCAUGAUGAGGUUCAAAAUUUUAAAUUUCUUAACCCUGUGCGUUUCUUCUUUUUCACAGUUUUGUACAGAAAUAUGAUCCCUAGUAACUUUACAAUGAGAUUAAAUGUGAAUCAGCAACUUUCACCGGAGUUGGAUCUCUUCAUGAAACAGAGGCUCCAAAAUUAUGAGUUAAAACGAAGCAAAAUCGCUUUUUGUGUUUUCAAAAUCACACAAAGGAACCUAUGAUGGAGAGUGUCCCUUCUACUGCUCUUACUCAGGCUAUAAUGAUGAACUUAUGUGGUUAGCAACAUGGUUAUACAUGGCUACGAGGAAGCCUGCGUAUUUGAAGUACAUACAAGAAGAAUCGAUAAGUGCUAGCGUAACAGAAUUUAAUUGGGAUCUUAAAUAUGCAGGAGCCCAAAUCCUUCUUACCAAGUUGAAGAUGGGUAUUUGCAACCAGGAUGCAGUCAAGCAGUUGCAAUCCAUGAUGGAAAAUGGUGUGUUCUUCACAACCUUCAAA